UGGGGAAUAUUGCACAAUGGGGGAAACCCUGAUGCAGCGACGCCGCGUGAGCGAAGAAGGUUUUCGAAUCGUAAGCUCUGUCCUAUGGGAAGAUAAUGACGGUACCAUAGGAGGAAGCCCCGGCUAACUACGUGCCAGCAGCCGCGGUAAUACGUAGGGGGCAAGCGUUGUCCGGAAUCACUGGGCGUAAAGGGUUCGCAGGCGGAAAUGCAAGUCAGUUGUGAAAGGCAGAGGCUCAACCUCUGUAAGCAAUUGAAACUGUAUUUCUUGAGAUGUGGAGAGGCAAGUGGAAUUCCUAGUGUAGCGGUGAAAUGCGUAGAUAUUAGGAAGAAUACCGGUGGCGAAGGCGACUUGCUGGACACAAACUGACGCUGAGGAACGAAAGCGUGGGUAGCAAACAGG
rnacentral:rRNA from 1 species